AUGAACAGUAAAAUCAAAAUAAAUAGUAAAUAUUUUUUCAAAAUUCUGAUAUUUUUUAUAGAUGCUCAUGUUAGUGUACCAAGUGUGCUUUACAAUUUUCAUGCCAUACGGGAUAGCAGUGCUUCGUCGGCGAAAAAAACAAAAUUAAGUGUAACAUUAGGAGAUAACAUUUGUUGUUUGACUUGUUUUUUUUUUGCACAUGCCAAAAUGCUGAAGUCUUCCCUUAAAAAUUUGCAGGUAGCAUUUAGAUGUGACAAUGAACGCAUCUAUUUUUUUUCAGUUUUUUUGACAUUAGUAAAAUCCAUUUUUGGCAUGCAGGAGCAUGUGCUCCCUUGA
rnacentral:rRNA from 1 species